AAUGUACUCCCUCCGUCCGACAAUACUUGUCACCAAAAUGAAUAAAAAGAGAUGUAUCUAGAACUAAAAUACGUCUAGAUACAUCCCCUUUCAUCCAUUUUGAUGACAAGUAUUUCCGGACGGAAGGAGUAGAUU
rnacentral:pre_miRNA from 1 species